UUGUUACUAUUAUGUAGAAUUGUGGUAAAGUAAGCAGGUCAUCGUUGACGUGUGUGCUUGCUUUUAGGGUAUUUUAAUCUUUUUCUGGUUCUUUGGUCCAUUAGUUCUAUUGAUAUUUCUUUUCCUUUCUCCAUCGUUCUAGCUUUUUCUCUCACCUUCUUCUCUAAAAUUUCGCCCCCCCAGCCCCCCUCGUGUCUCUUUUCUUCGGUUGUAUCAAGAAAUUGUUAUAUAAGCUUUUACUUCUAUGCCCUCUUUUUGGUGUAUAACACAAAAGUAUAGAUCUCGGCUGAAUUUGGCAAUUUUUCGUUUUUCCUUGGCUACAGAAAUUCGCAUAGUAAGGGAUUUCUGAGCCAAAGAAUUGCGUUGUCACCUGAUUGGAUUGAUAUGAGAAGCCGCAGAUUUUUUUUUAAAAGUUCUCUGUCUAGGCUUAAGGUUAGUGGGUUAGUGCUCAACCCACUAACCGUCUUUGAAUGCUAUAUCCCCAUGCGAUGCAGGGUCCGAGGGAAAGUUUACUUUUUUGUGCAAUGUUAGAUGGUGAAGUGGCGAGCUUCCAUUCUUUGAAAGACUUGAUCAUUUCAUCGGUUUUCCUUCCAUAAAUUAGAAGUAAAGACUUCACAUUUACAUUGUCAUUGUUAUUGUAAUUGUCAGGGUCGGAGACAUGUCUAGACUUAGAUUAUUUUUGAAUUAGUAGAGGCUUUGAGGAUAUUACUGUGGAUUGGAUUGGGUAUUGAUGUUGACACUCUUAGAUGUCUUUAAACUUAUUACUUCCUAUCUUGAUAUGUUUUUGGAAUU